AGAAAUGGUAGGGAUGGGAUGUAUGAGGGACAAAGAAAAAAAAAGUCAAAAAGAAGAAUGGAAAAGGAAAAAAAAAAUAGUCACGGCAAGAAAAUCUGUACGUAGAACAUCACUAUGGGGCCAGAAGGCUGAUUCAAGCCAUCCUUUCACUACUGAUCUGGAAUACAGCUUUAGAUGUAUCUUAAGUAUCAGAAGACACAGAGAGCUGACUCUGAAGAGCGCUGACCCGCUACCUCUCUUGUCCCUGAAGAGAAUAAGCAAAUACGUGUUUUGGAGCUAUUUUACACCGAUGUCCAUUACGUUACACAUUGCUGGGAAGGAUGGGAAACAGCAGAAAAGAGGAUUUUUCCACGUCCUGCCUACCUCUUUCACACUUGAAUUCUCUCUGAUUUUGCUCAUUGUUUUAGACAGGUUCCUGAGAUCCAUGGGCUAUUCUUUUUACACUUCCUGAUCUCACACAGACUGUCAUUUAAUCUUGUAAAGUGUUUUGAAACACUGCUCAUAUAAAAG
ensembl:lncRNA